UACGAAGGGGGCUAGCGUUGCUCGGAAUCACUGGGCGUAAAGGGUGCGUAGGCGGGUCUUUAAGUCAGGGGUGAAAUCCUGGAGCUCAACUCCAGAACUGCCUUUGAUACUGAGGAUCUUGAGUCCGGAAGAGGAGAGUGGAAUUCCCGGUGUAGCGGUGAAAUGCACAGAUAUCGGGAAGAACACCCGUGGCGAAGGCGGCUCUCUGGGACGGUACUGACGCUGAGACGCGAAAAGCGUGGGGGAGCGAACAGGG
rnacentral:rRNA from 1 species